rnacentral:lncRNA from 1 species
GCACUAUCCAAGAAAAAGACAAGGAAAUUAAAUUUUUCUUACCUCAGUGCAGUGUAAAGAAGAUGAAGAAAGCAACAAAAGACGGUCUUUUGUACGGGCAAGUGUAAAAGAUUGCUAGGGGAGGGGGAACAAAUAUCCUCUAGCUUUCUCUCUCUUGUAGGGUAGAAUAAAUUGCUCUUUAAAGUUGAUUUAAUCAUAUACUAAAGGUAGACUUAAAUAGACUUUAGAAGUGAUUUAUUUCCCUUUCUUAGAAUGAUCUAAUUUCCAAUUAAUGUGGAAAUCUACAUCAAAAUAUGAAACAAUCUUACGUUUCCUAAAGCAAGGGAAGAUCUCUACACCUGCUGCCCUUUCUUGCGAGCAGCCCAACAGGUGUAGAGGUAUUUAUGGAGCAAAAAAUAAUCAAGAAAAUUAUGGAGGCGACAAGUGAACUUUUGGGUGAAAAAGACAAAAUUAUCUUCAAGACACACCGAGAUUCCCACACACAUGCAAUGGACAAUAACAGCUUAAUCAAGGAAAAGUCAAAGGUGAUCAAAAUGAUAUUUAUUCAAAACUCUCUCAUCACUCCUCAUCAAAUCUUCACUCAAAAUGUAACUCCCAAUUAUCCUAUUUAAAUUAGGAUUGAUUACCAGGUUAAUUGCAAGAUAUUAACCUCAAAAAACUACCAUAAGUGGCCGGUCCCUAUUCUCCAAAUAGGGCUGGCCACACCCCUAUAUAUAGUCUCAUUUCUCCACCAAAAAACUAAGUUCAUUCUCUCCCUAAAAUUUCCUAAACACUUUCUCUCUCAAAUUGUAACUUUGGCAUUGGAGAAUCUUCGGCCAAAGCACCCACCCCACCCAAAUUCAUUGUGGGCACUUGAGGCUCUUGACCUUGAUCUUAUGUAUUAUUGUUUUGCAGGUGUAUUUUCGUCAAAUGAGAAGAACGCGGAAAUUUGCAUCCACAAUUAUGGUUAGGAAUUUUUACUAAACUUUUAUUUUCUCAAAAUAUGCUUCUAAAGGUUUGCCUCAUCUUCACUAAUUUUCUAGCCAUUCACUCGCUCUAAAUUUUGUAAGGGCUUAUCGGCCCUUCCUUGUAUUCCCAAUUAAUUUUAUAAUAAAAUCUAAAUUUCCUUCAUAGUUGAGUAGAAUUAUGGUCAAUUAGCAAAUGUCUUCCAUAAUUUUAAUGUCCUUAGUAGUGGGGUCAUUUCAUCGUCAAUUCAUAAAGUAGGAUAAUACCAAAGAUGCUAGUUAGCAUCUAGCACUUAGCGAUACUUUGACCUUCUCCACUAAUUUGGUAGCUGCUAUUCACUAGCUCUAUAUUAUAUUGAUUGUGUCCUUAGACAAGACAUGGAAAGAAUAGUAGCAAUCCAGAAUGUCACUGCAGUUUAAAUAAUCGAAAUGAACAAAUUUUGUGACAUACUUUUGGGUUUUGGCAUCUCUAAUAAUUGUGGUCGUGAAAAACAAUCACGAUAAAAAUCGAAUUUGUUGGGGUUGGAUUUGGGAGAGGGAGGAAAAGAAAAACAAGGAAACACACAAAUGUGUUGUCUUUCAAAAGAAUCUGUGAUAACAAGUUAGCAGGUUAAACGAUACAAAAAGAGAGCAAUUAAUCAAGUUGUGGAGUAUUUUGGAGAAACUUUACAAGAUAAAUUAUAACUUAUAUUGAAUGGUUAUACUUCUAAUUGUACUGAGGUUUUUAAUAAUUAAACUAAACACAUGUCGAGCUAUGCAUGUGGU